AACGAACGCUGGCGGCGUGCUUAACACAUGCAAGUCGAACGAAGUGGCGAACGGGUGAGUAACGCGUAAUCAACCUGCCCUUCAGAGGGGGACAACAGUUGGAAACGUAUGCUAUUACCGCAUACUGAAGGAGUGGAUUGCGUCUGAUUAGGUAGUUGGAGGGGUAACGGCCCACCAAGGCGAUGAUCAGUAGCCGGGCUGGAGGGAAGAACGAGCAAAUUGGGACUGGGGAACGGGCCAGACUCCUAAGGGGAGGAGCAGUGGGGAAUGUGCCGAAAUGGACGGAAAGCUGGAGGAACAAAGGCGCGUGAGAGAAGGCGGGCUUCGGGUUGUAAAAGUCUGUUAAUCGGGGCGCGGUACCGGAAGAAGAAGCCACGGCUAACUACGUGCCAGCAGCCGCGGUAAUAC
rnacentral:rRNA from 1 species